UUUCCCAAAAGCGGCGCACGAAGCUCUAAAUAUGCCAUCAACAUGAAUUGACAGUUUUUUGUCAUGCUGUUAAUAUUAGUGCAAUUCAGGCAAUUUUUCGUCUCAUGUAAUAGUAUGUGUGCACUAUUGACGUUUGUUUGUUGAUUUUGAAACCAGUUGAUAAUUUGCAAGUGAUGUGGAUGCUGAAAUUUUUAUUUCACUUCUUCAACAACUACCAGUGCUGUGGAACUAAUUCUGUGAUGCAAAUUUCUGCUCAAAGAGAAGCAAUGGUCACAGGUGCACGAUGUCAUCAUUGAGCAUAUUGCCACGGACUGUGUUAUUAACGGCAACAUUCCUUAUUUGAAAUUAUUACUGAACGAGAUCGGGGAGGUCAAACAAAUCUCUUUGGGUAUUCCAGUUUGACCUGACCCGGGACACGAUCGACGACGAGACCGAGGCACUCAAGCCCAAACUGUCCUAUAUGUGCUCUGUGGUCAAAAUGUUCCCAUGCCCGACGGCAAAGCAUCGGUUCUGUCAGAACGAAAUUCCAGCUUAUCUGAUUCGGUCAUUCUUUGCUCCGGAUCCGCGUAUUUAUAGCUGUGAUGCGAAUUGGGCUCGAGAAGCUGCCAUUGCCCCAGGAUUACGUGCUCGAGGAAUUGCGGCAUAUGUUGAGCGCGUUCUUGGACGAGGAUCAGCGGAAGCAGCAAUGGAAUAGUGUUUGAACGAAUUAUGUUAUUUUAAUCGUAAAAUUUUUUUCUGUAAUAAUGAAAUAAAAAACACUCUAAAAUGAA